AAAUUAUAAUCCCAUGAACAUGCACCCAAUAGAAAAGCAGCUACAAUUCUGUCUUAACAAAAUCCAAAAAUGGGCCAAUGAAAAUGGCUUUAAGUUUUCAAAAUCCAAAACAAAUUGUAUUUAC